rnacentral:rRNA from 2 species
UACGUAGGGUGCGAGCGUUAAUCGGAAUUACUGGGCGUAAAGCGUGCGCAGGCGGUUCGUUGUGUCCGAUGUGAAAGCCCCGAGCUCAACUUGGGAAUGGCAUUGGAAACUGGCGAGCUGGAGUGCGGCAGAGGGGGGUGGAAUUCCACGUGUAGCAGUGAAAUGCGUAGAGAUGUGGAGGAACACCGAUGGCGAAGGCAGCCCCCUGGGCCGACACUGACGCUCAGGCACGAAAGCGUGGGGAGCAAACAGG